rnacentral:rRNA from 1 species
GUGAGGAAUAUUCCGCAAUGGGGGAAACCCUGACGGAGCAAUGCCGCGUGCAGGAUGAAGGCCCUCGGGUCGUAAACUGCUUUUAUAUGAGAAGAAUAUGACGGUAACAUAUGAAUAAGGGACGGCUAACUACGUGCCAGCAGCCGCGGUCAUACGUAGGUCCCAAGCGUUAUCCGGAGUGACUGGGCGUAAAGAGUUGCGUAGGCGGCUCGUUAAGCGUGAAAUGAAAUUUAUCGACUCAACCGGUAAACUAUUUCGCGAACUGACGGGCUCGAGAGUAUGAGAGGUUACUGGAAUUUCUAGUGUAGCAGUGAAAUGCGUAGAUAUUAGAAAGAACACCAACGGCGUAGGCAGGUAACUGGCAUACAUCUGACGCUGAGGCACGAAAGCGUGGGGAGCGAACCGGAUUAGAAACCCCUGUAGUCC